rnacentral:rRNA from 1 species
AUAGCGUAUAUUAAAGUUGUUGCCGUUAAAAAGCUCGUAGUCGAACUUCGGCCUCUUCGUUGGCCGGUCCGCCUUUUGUGGGUGUGUACUGGACCAGUGGAGGCUUAUUUUCUUGGUGGGCCGUACUGUCGUUUAUUCGGCGGUGUGUGCAUAACCAGGACGUUUACUUUGAAAAAAUCAGAGUGUUCAAAGCAGGCAUUAUUUGCCCGAAUACAUUAGCAUGGAAUAAUAGAAUAGGACGAUGCGGUCCUGUUUGUGUUGGUUUCUAGGAUCGCCGUAAUGAUGAAUAGGGGCGGUUGGGGGCAUUUGUAUUCCGUUGCUAGAGGUGAAAUUCUUGGAUUUACGGAAGACAAACUACUG